UGCGUAGGCGGAUUGGCAAGUCAGAAGUGAAAUCCAUGGGCUUAACCCAUGAACUGCUUUUGAAACUGUUAGUCUUGAGUGAAGUAGAGGUAGGCGGAAUUCCCGGUGUAGCGGUGAAAUGCGUAGAGAUCGGGAAGAACACCAGUGGCGAAGGCGGCCUACUGGGCUUUAACUGACGCUGAGGCACGAAAGCAUGGGGAGCAAACA
rnacentral:rRNA from 1 species